GUGGGGAAUUUUGGACAAUGGGCGCAAGCCUGAUCCAGCAAUGCCGCGUGCAGGACGAAGGCCUUCGGGUUGUAAACUGCUUUUGUACAGAACGAAAAGGCUCUGGCUAAUACCCGGGGCUCAUGACGGUACUGUAAGAAUAAGCACCGGCUAACUACGUGCCAGCAGCCGCGGUAAUACGUAGGGUGCGAGCGUUAAUCGGAAUUACUGGGCGUAAAGCGUGCGCAGGCGGUUUUGUAAGACAGAGGUGAAAUCCCCGGGCUCAACCUGGGAACUGCCUUUGUGACUGCAAGGCUGGAGUACGGCAGAGGGGGAUGGAAUUCCGCGUGUAGCAGUGAAAUGCGUAGAUAUGCGGAGGAACACCGAUGGCGAAGGCAGUCCCCUGGGCCUGUACUGACGCUCAUGCACGAAAGCGUGGGGAGCAAACAGGAUUAGAAACCCUGGUAGUCC
rnacentral:rRNA from 1 species